rnacentral:rRNA from 1 species
GCAUCUGUGCAUGCAGCAUAUCAAUAAGCGGAGGAAAAGAAACUAACAAGGAUUCCCUUAGUAACGGCGAGUGAAGCGGGAAGAGCUCAAAUUUGAAAUCUUCAAGGUUUUACCUUGACGAAUUGUAGUUUAAAGAAGUGUUUUCUGUUGAAGUUUUGGUAAAAGUUCUUUGGAAUAGGACAUCAUAGAGGGUGAGAAUCCCGUAUUUGACCAUUAUUUUCAGCUGUGUGAUACACUUUCAAAGAGUCGGAUUGUUUGGGAAUGCAGUCCAAAAUGGGUGGUAAAUUUCAUCUAAGGCUAAAUAUUGGCGAGAGACCGAUAGCGAACAAGUACCGUGAGGGAAAGAUGAAAAGAACUUUGAAAAGAGAGCUAAACAGUACGUGAAAUUGUCAAAAGGGAAGCGUUUGACACCAGUGUUGUUUUCUCGAAAAUCAAUUAAAAAGAGUUAGAUUUUGUUGUGUAUUGACCUUAACAGCUUGCAUUUCAAUUUUCUUGCUUUUUUUAAUGCACUUUUCGUUUAACAAGUCAACAUCAGUUUCUUUUGUUGUAAAAAGGUCAUUGGAAGGUGGCUUUCUUUUCGGAGAAAGUGUUUAUAGCCUUUGACUCCUGCAAUCGGAGAGACUGAGGUCUGCAGCGUAGAUCCUUCGGGGUUAGAUACAUUUGUGCUAAGUUAUAGCUUUUUAUAGACAACUUGUUGACUAUGAUUAGUCUUGUGACUUACUCGCUUAUGCUAUUUUACCUACGCUUAGGAUGUUGACGCGCGUGUGUGCGUGAGUCUAUACAUGACUCUGCGCAUAUCAAUAAGCGGAGGAAAAGGUACCUACGCUUAGGAUGUUGACGAGACUGUCGAUCUCAUCUAUACAUGAGUCUGUGCAUAUCAAUAAGCGGAGGAAAAGGUACCUACGCUUAGGAUGUUGACGCAUGAGAUAUACGC